rnacentral:rRNA from 1 species
UACAGAGGGGGCAAGCGUUGUUCGGAAUUACUGGGCGUAAAGGGCGCGUAGGCGGCCUGUUAAGUCGAACGUGAAAUCCCUGGGCUCAACCCAGGAACUGCGUCCGAUACUGGCAGGCUUGAAUUCGGGAGAGGGAUGCGGAAUUCCAGGUGUAGCGGUGAAAUGCGUAGAUAUCUGCAGGAACACCCGUGGCGAAAGCGGCGCGCUGGACCACUACUGACGCUGAGGAACGAAAGCUAGGGGAGCAAACAGG